UGAAAUGUUACAACAAGCUGCCAGUAGAAACAACAGUUUACACUGUCAAUGGCAAUGGCUAAGUGCUGUUUCCGCUAUCUCACAGGAAGUAGAUCGCAUAAACACUUGAACAAAUGUUAGUUCAGGAAUAAGGUGGAUAUAAUGCAAUAUUUAUAAAUGACAAUAAUAACCUUGUGUUGUUGUUGUUUGUUCUGUGGCUCAAUUGUUUAUUUAGGUAGAUCAGCAUGUACAAACAAAAGGACGCUCAAAAAAAUCAACAAAGUCGUUUGUUUGGUUGGACGAGAACAAAGAAGGUCAAUCUCUGCCAAAAAGAUGUAGAGCUGGAGAGAAGAGAAAACGUGCUUCAGUCACUGUGUCCCCAGUAAGCGUAACUCCCUCCUGUGCUCCAUCUACUGAUACAACUGGAGAAACCGCAACCACCAAUUUAGACUCCCUCCUUCAAGAUGUCCAAGACCUCUUGGGAAGUGGUGCUGAACAACCUCUCCCCUCACACUGGAGGAACAGGCAAACUUCCUCUCUGCAGAAUUGGACAGUGAUGAGGCCCUUCAUGGUGAACAAUAUGUUGUCAUCUGAGAAGCCCAAGGAGGGGGUUUGCCAUCAGUGUGGGCACAAGGCCGCAGUUGUGAUGUGUAGGGACUGUUUACCCCGAUCACUGUACUGCACAGCCUGUGAUCUUUCCACACACGAGACCUUGGUGCUGCAUAACAGAGCAUCCACGGUGGAGGGGUUCUUCAAACACCUGCCACCAUCCACUUUUGUCCAGCAGCAUGAAGGAGGGAAGUUCUCAUAUCAGG